CACAGCUAAGGAAGAAUUCUUCACUUCUCUCAUUGACUUCUCAAACUCCAAACCACGGCCUGGUCCGCUUGGUCUGUUUCACAAGCGUUCCAGGAAGUCUCUGAUGUUGCACAUCUGGGUUCAGAAACUCUGUGAUUUUUAUGUUACUGUUUUUUUGCCAAAGUAUAUUUACGGUACUUCGAUACGAUUUAGUUUUUCAGUUUAUAUUUCUUUAUUUGUGUGUUUAAAAAAAACAAACAUCUGUUUUGUAUUUAUUACAAUUUUUUAUUUUUACUCCAAAGUAUUGUGUAUUAACUUGCCCGCGGUGUUGGGUAAUACUGAACGUUCAGACAUCGUGGGCGGCAGGUAGCCUCGUGGUUCGAUCGUUGGGCCACUUGUUGAAUAUAUUCAGUCGUUCUCCAAAUCCUGAAGCUACUUUACCUUGAUAUAUGCAUGCUGAAUUUGGAUUUACAUUUGGGAUUUUGUUUGUUGCACCAAAACUCCCUGUACUGUGUACUUUAUAACUGAGCUUCAUGUCCAGUUUUUCAUAACUCUCUCAUUGCCACAAAUUAUAUAAUAAUAAUAAUUAUAAGAUACUUUUAAAAAAAUAUACAAAAAAUUUAAAUGACUUUAAACUUUUAUUUAUACUCAUUAAUUUCCCAAUACUUCCAAACAUGUUGUUGAACUGUAUUGUAAAAUAUGAUAUAUAUAUAUAUAUUAUAUAUAUAUAAUAUAUAUUAUGUGUGUUACAGGUAAAAGGGCAUAAGAAUAGAGGUACUCAAUCAUUCAAAGACACCUACUGUGUGCCUGUGUGUGAAGAUCAGGAAUCUGCAACGUUUGGGUAUUUUUACCAACUAUCUUUACUGCAAUAUACAUAGUUUAAAAUAAUAAUAAUAAUAAUAAUAAUAAUAAUAAUAAUAAUAAUAAUAAUAAUAAUAAUAAUAAUAAUAAUCUUUCCUUGAAAUCUACAGGAACUUGAUAGACCAUUUUCUUAAAUAAUGAAACAUACAAACAUGUCACAGACAUUAUGUGAGUGUCAUUAACAUGUACAAAAGGGUUAUUUUGAUUUCGAUGGGAGACGUGUAAACAAUGUGAACAGCUCUGUGUAGGGAGUAGGGAGGUGUUUCACCCUAGGUCUCUGUGUAGGGAGUAGGGAGCUGUUUCACCCUAGGUCUCUGUGUAGGGAGUAGGGAGGUGUUUCACCCUAGGUCUCUGUGUAGGGAGUAGGGAGGUGUUUCACCCUAGGUCUCUGUGUAGGGACUAGGGAGGUGUUUCACCCUAGGUCUCUGUGUAGGGAGUAGGGAGGUGUUUCACCCUAGGUCUCUGUGUAGGGACUAGGGAGCUGUUUCACCCUAGGUCUCUGUGUAGGGAGCUGUUUCACCCUAGGUCUCUGUGUAGGGAGUAGGGAGCCGUUUCACCCUAGGUCUCUGUGUAGGGUGCUGUUUCACCCUAGGUCUCUGUGUAGGGAGUAGGGAGCCGUUUCACCCUAGGUCUCUGUGUAGGGAGCUGUUUCACCCUAGGUCUCUGUGUAGGGACUAGGGAGGUGUUUCACCCUCGGUCUCUGUGUAGGGAGUAGGGAGCCGUUUCACCCUAGGUCUCUGUUGAGGAAAACGUCAUUUGAAUCAUCAGUACGGUAAGGGGAUCUUGUUAUAGUGAAACAGACGGAAACGGCCCGGACAAAAUAAAUAACAACAACAAAACAUUGCAAAUGAAGUUUUUUGAAAUAAAUGAUCGUCUGGCUAAGCCAAACAUUCUACGACAUAAUGUUUUCCUCUUUUUCAUGAAUUCUAAAACUUUGUAUGUUUUAUUGUCAACAGGAAUGAGUAUUAAUGUAAUUAUUAUUAUUAUUAUGAUUAUUGUCAUGGCUAUUACUAAUAUUAGUGGCAGGCCACUGGGUAACAUUGUAUGUUGAUAUCCAAAUGAUAAUGAUGAAAUGUUUAUGAGUUUUAAAAACAAAUAAAAAGAUAAGACCACCAGGACUGUGUCAUUGUUCUGUUAAACACUGAGAUUAUUGAUAGUUCAUCUAAAUCAAUUAUUCAUCUAAUCAAUCAAUUAAAAUCAACAUGACACCUUUAUGUGGGGCGGCAGGUAGCCUAG
ensembl:lncRNA